CAAUGUCACAUGAUAAAGGUUGAAGGUCAGAGCAGCCAUUUUGUUUUUUUUCCAUUUUUUGUGUAAGACAACGUGCUACAAACAUUUCUCUCUCAAGCUUUGCAUCAUCGUUGUUGAGCCUUGAAGAAGCUUUGUUUGAUAAAAGUGAAGAUACGAUUCACGGACGUUGGCAAAGUCAAGCAUCAGGGCAGUAAAAGAGCUAAGGAUUUGGGCCCCGACACAACGGCACCUGCUGCCACCUUUACCAGACCACUGGAUCCUUCCGAACAGGCCGGCCCGUUUGUUUGGCGGGUGUUGUGUUCAGGUCUCCGCGGGGCUCGAGGGGCCCGAGUGGUGCCGCGUCACAUUCACGCCGGGUGAAAGGCCACCAGUUGAACAGCCCAAAUGAUGAAAAAGAGAGGACUUAAAUUGGAACCUUGAGGAACACCACGAGUAUAACUAAAGAAGUUGAACAAUUGACUACUUAUGGCAUCUGAAGUAAACAAGCUACAGCAACACCUUAGCUACAUUAACCACAUUACGAAACAAAUGUGUAACUGCCAAAAAGAACAGGACUUAAAGGGAUGCCUUGAGGCGCUCCUCAAUUAUGUAAAUCACAAACUUGGACUCCAGUGUUCUGUGGACUUCGGGGCUAAUUUGGAGGCAGCAAACACGGUGUCUGCUCGCAUUUUUUUUUAAUGGUGUUCACUUUUUUA